rnacentral:rRNA from 1 species
CCUACGGGUGGCAGCAGUGGGGAAUAUUGCACAAUGGGCGCAAGCCUGAUGCAGCCAUGCCGCGUGUGUGAAGAAGGCCUUCGGGUUGUAAAGCACUUUCAGCGGGGAGGAAGGCGGUGAGGUUAAUAACCUCAUCGAUUGACGUUACCCGCAGAAGAAGCACCGGCUAACUCCGUGCCAGCAGCCGCGGUAAUACGGAGGGUGCAAGCGUUAAUCGGAAUUACUGGGCGUAAAGCGCACGCAGGCGGUCUGUCAAGUCGGAUGUGAAAUCCCCGGGCUCAACCUGGGAACUGCAUUCGAAACUGGCAGGCUAGAGGCUUGUAGAGGGGGGUAGAAUUCCAGGUGUAGCGGUGAAAUGCGUAGAGAUCUGGAGGAAUACCGGUGGCGAAGGCGGCCCCCUGGACAAAGACUGACGCGCAGGUGCGAAAGCGUGGGGAGCAAACAGGAUUAGAUACCCCGGUAGUC